rnacentral:rRNA from 1 species
UACGUAGGGGGCUAGCGUUAUCCGGAAUUACUGGGCGUAAAGGGUGCGUAGGUGGUUUCUUAAGUCAGAGGUGAAAGGCUACGGCUCAACCGUAGUAAGCCUUUGAAACUGGGGAACUUGAGUGCAGGAGAGGAGAGUGGAAUUCCUAGUGUAGCAGUGAAAUGCGUAGAUAUCGAGAGGAACACUCGUGGCGAAGGCGGGUUCCUGGACAUUAACUGACGCUGAGGCACGAAGGCCAGGGGAGCGAAAGGG